rnacentral:rRNA from 1 species
UACGGAGGGUGCAAGCGUUAAUCGGAAUUACUGGGCGUAAAGCGCGCGUAGGCGGCUACUUAAGUCAGAUGUGAAAUCCCCGGGCUCAACCUGGGAACUGCAUCUGAUACUGGGUAGCUAGAGUUUAGGAGAGGGAAGUAGAAUUUCAGGUGUAGCGGUGAAAUGCAUAGAGAUCUGAAGGAAUACCAGUGGCGAAGGCGGCUUCCUGGCCUAAAACUGACGCUGAGGUGCGAAAGCGUGGGUAGCAAACGGGAUUAGAUACCCCAGUAGUCC